CCGCCUCCGCACCUGCCUCCCCAGGGAAGUUCCUGGGCUUUGCUCCAAAGCUGCCCCGGAAUGUUUUGGUUGGUUUGGAGAAAAGCUGUAGCGUCUACACCACUUGUUCCAAGCAGGCGGCCCCCUGGUGGCUAACUGGGGGUGAGAAAGCUGGCCACUGAGGAAGAAGUCUGGCGCAGGUAGAAGAUUCUGAGGCCCUGGGCGGGAACUAGUAAGCCACAAUCUGGAAGAGUCUUUUAUCACCAUGUGGAGGAGAACUAGAGCACUCAUGUUGAACUAUUACCGAGAAAAGUAAUCAACUUCUUUUGUGUUAAGUCACUGAAAGGCAAGUGUUAAUUUGUUGCAGUAAUUGGUGCUCCCUUAACACACCUGUCAGCCAGGCCAAACUCUAUCACAGCAUAAAUAAUCUUUUCCUUAAAUAAAUACAGGUAAAAGAAUAAAAUAGACCUAAGUGCAUUAAUAUGAAUAUAGGCUCAAAGCAAAAUGUUGGGCUAUAAAUGUUCAGAGUGAUAAUUUUUUAAGUUGAUGUGUAAUUUAGUACAGUAAAAUAGAUAAAACCUAAAUGUUCAGUUCAAUGAAUUUUUACAUGUUCAUACCCCUGUAUAAUCACCUCCCAGAACAACACAGAAAAUACUUCAUAUAAAUGGAAUCAUACAGUGUGUUUU
rnacentral:lncRNA from 1 species